GAUCAUGGCUCAGGACGAACGCUGGCGGCGUGCUUAACACAUGCAAGUCGAACGAGAAUCUGCGGAAAGAGGAUUCAUCCAAUUGAAGCAGAGGACAGUGGCGGACGGGUGAGUAACGCGUGAGGAACCUGCCUUUCAGAGGGGGACGAACAGUUGGAAACGACUGCUAAUACCGCAUAACAUAUAGAUGUCGCAUGGCAUUUAUAUCAAAGAUUUAUCGCUGAAAG
rnacentral:rRNA from 1 species